ensembl:lncRNA
GCAUCGGGAGACAUCUGUGGGCCAGAGUUGCUGGCAGGGACCAUAGAGCUUUCUACUGAAGUGAGUGCUCACACAGGCUGGCUGAAAGAACGCUCGACCUGAGCUAACUACUUCCAUGGAUCAACACCUUGUCAGCAAAGGUCUGAAAGACACCAAGGCUCCAGAGAAAAGGAAGUACCUGCUUUAUAGAAAGCCGAUCAGCUCUCUCUCCUUUCCUCCACCAGAUUUGCAGUAUGAAAGAGAAAAUGGAAGCCACAAAGAACAAAAACCAAAUGCUGAGAUCCAUCGCUUUAGGAUAAAGUAAGCUUCAUGAAGACAAAGAUUUCAUAUUUUCCCUUGUGCUGCCGGCAGCGUCGAUAACAAUGUAACAGCACCUAUGAGGUGUGAAGGGCAACAGACGUUUAUUGAAUAAAGGAAAAAACCCUCUUCUUUUCCCUAGCAAAAGUCAAUGUCACAUUCUUAUCUUCCCACUCCCUGUCCCAAUAACCCUUUCCAGGUUUUACCUUACGGAGCCCUUCAGAAGAGAUCAGUAGAUAUUAGCCAUUGCUUUUUAAUUUUCUUUCAAGUAAAAGAAGAAAAAUUGGAUACAAUUUUCACGAGUCAACAUAAUAUUUCUCAUUUCUUGACUUAUUUGGCAAAGAAAAGCACAGGUUGAACUGUUUAGAAGAGAUAAAGGAUCCGUUCUCACAUUAUGGAGACCAAGGCUUUUAAACAAACCUUUCAAAGUUGAUUGAGCAUAUAAAAUCUAAUGAAGACAGAUUCUGCAAAUGCAAAGAAACCCUAUCUGAUGAGAGCCACAAGUGUGAACACACCACACCAUAACCAUGUGGAAAUAAUAGCCUAUAUUGGCAGCAAAGAUUUCUAUUGAAUGAGAGAAAUGCCAUUGUCUGAAAGUCUAAUUUGGUAAACAUCUUACAGCGCUGACUCAUCAUGACUGAAAAUCCAAUAACAAAUCACCACUGUGAUUUAGGACCAGG